rnacentral:rRNA from 1 species
CCAGGCCUAACACAUGCAAGUCGAACGCCCCGCAAGGGGAGUGGCAGACGGGUGAGUAACACGUGGGAACGUACCCUUCGGUUCGGAACAACCCUGGGAAACUAGGGCUAAUACCGGAUACGCGCGAGAGCGGAAAGGUUUACCGCCGAAGGAUCGGCCCGCGUCUGAUUAGCUAGUUGGUGAGGUAACGGCUCACCAAGGCGACGAUCAGUAGCUGGUCUGAGAGGAUGAUCAGCCACAUUGGGACUGAGACACGGCCCAAACUCCUACGGGAGGCAGCAGUGGGGAAUAUUGGACAAUGGGCGCAAGCCUGAUCCAGCCAUGCCGCGUGAGUGAUGACGGCCCUAGGGUUGUAAAGCUCUUUUACCUGGGAAGAUAAUGACGGUACCAGGAGAAUAAGCCCCGGCUAACUUCGUGCCAGCAGCCGCGGUAAU